GGGAUCUCCAUCUGACAGAAUGAGAGCCAGGGGCUGAUGGAUGUGACCCCGAUGGCUUGCACGUUGGUGUGGAUCAUGGAAGUCGCAGCUGCUGCAGCUGUAUAUGGUGUGCUGGCCAUGGGGUGGAGUGGUCAGCCAACUCACCUCCAUUGCCCUCAACAGUGUUGGUAGGGUGUCCAUCCAGGGAGACAUCUACGGUGGACAGGCAUGAGGUGGGGCCUACGAAGAUCACCACUUCAUUGAAGGGUUGAUAAAUAGGUGACCUGCUUUCCGCCAUCUGUGACCAGGCCAUUUUCACUGAGGCCAUUUUGAUACCGUCAAGUUGAACUUACACCACAAUCGAAAUUUGAAAUCAAGUGGAUGGUCCUGAAUUAUUGCAAAUAAUUUUUAUUGUUAGCCUGCUUUGUUUGAAGAACAUAAAGUUUAUUAUUAUUAUUAUUAUUAUUAUUAUUAUUAUUAUGCUUUGAAUGACAAUAGAUUGUUUUCUCAUCUAAGAAAGGCUGUAAAAUUCAUAUUAAAACAAUCAAUGGGCAGCCAUAAAGUACACUCAAAAGAACAAGUGCAGUUACUUUCAGGCUCUACAAGUGCUGGAUCAAUUGGCCACACUUCAUAUAUGCUCUAAUCGCCAUAUAGUAGUCUAAGGGGCUGUGGUUCGAUGGUAGAGCUUCUGUUUUGUGCUCAUGAGGACCUGGGUUUGAUUCCCGGCAUCUCCAAUGCUUUUUAACUGUUCCCUUUCAGAAUCUGUUCUCUUUUUAACUGUUCCCUUUCAGGACCUAUUCACACAAGGUGUGUCCGACUUUACCUUCUUGUUAUGAGCUGAUAUUUGCAUAGUUACGUAGUAGAUAAAUUUCCUCAUCUGUCACAUGACAACAGUGUUCAUCUAUGAAUAUUAGGACAUAUCGGUGGAGACCAGCAUAAGUCUGGUGAAGAACGUGGUCACGCCUCAAGGGAUAUGCUUUCUUGUAACAAAGAAGCUAAGCUCUGCUUUCCUGCUGGUGGCAGUUUCUCUGGCACAAUGACAUGGAUUUUCUUCUGUGUGUUCUCUUGGACAAUUACAGGCUUCAGUUUAUAUUCUUUGUUUGAGAGGUAAGCCUUACAAGUGUUUAUUUAGUUUUGAAAUCAGCAUGUUACCCUAUAUGACAGCAUUACCCUAGAAAGCCAAGUGUUAGUCUAAUGGAUGGAAACAGAAGAAACCAUUCUUAGCGAGGUAACCCAGUC
rnacentral:lncRNA from 1 species